UACGGGGGGGGCAAGCGUUGUUCGGAAUUACUGGGCGUAAAGGGCUUGUAGGUGGCCAACUAAGUCAGACGUGAAAUCCCUCGGCUUAACCGGGGAACUGCGUCUGAUACUGGAUGGCUUGAGUUUGGGAGAGGGAUGCGGAAUUCCAGGUGUAGCGGUGAAAUGCGUAGAUAUCGUGAGGAAGACCAGUGGCGAAGGCGGAUCUCUGGACAGUUCCUGACGCUGAGGCGCGAAGGCCAGGGGAGCAAACGGG
rnacentral:rRNA from 1 species